GACGAACGCUGGCGGCGUGCUUAACACAUGCAAGUCGAGCGGUAAGGCCCUUUCGGGGUACGACGAGCGGCGAACGGGUGAGUAACACGUGGGUGACCUGCCUUUAGUCUCUGGGAUAAGCCUGGGAAACUGGGUCUAAUACCGGAUAUGACUCCAUGAUGCAUGUUGUGGGGUGGAAAGCCUUGUGCGGCUGGAGAUGGGCCCGCGGCCUAUCAGCUUGUUGGUGGGGUGANGG
rnacentral:rRNA from 1 species